rnacentral:rRNA from 1 species
ACUCCUACGGGAGGCAGCAGUGGGGAAUUUUGGACAAUGGGCGAAAGCCUGAUCCAGCAAUGCCGCGUGUGUGAAGAAGGCCUUCGGGUUGUAAAGCACUUUUGUCCGGAAAGAAAUCCUUGGCUCUAAUACAGUCGGGGGAUGACGGUACCGGAAGAAUAAGCACCGGCUAACUACGUGCCAGCAGCCGCGGUAAUACGUAGGGUGCGAGCGUUAAUCGGAAUUACUGGGCGUAAAGCGUGCGCAGGCGGUUUGCUAAGACCGAUGUGAAAUCCCCGGGCUCAACCUGGGAACUGCAUUGGUGACUGGCAGGCUAGAGUAUGGCAGAGGGGGGUAGAAUUCCACGUGUAGCAGUGAAAUGCGUAGAGAUGUGGAGGAAUACCGAUGGCGAAGGCAGCCCCCUGGGCCAAUACUGACGCUCAUGCACGAAAGCGUGGGGAGCAAACAGGAUUAGAUACCCUGGUAGUCCCAUGA